GGCAGGGAGGCGCAGGGUGCGCGUCGGCUUCUCAUAAAUGACUCUGAGACACGAAGUUAAAGCCGAACAUCCCCUGUUCGACUCGGGGUCCUGCCA